rnacentral:rRNA from 1 species
AUACAUAGCAACUGGAGGCAAACCGGGGGAACUGAAACAUCUAAGUACCCCGAGGAAGAGAAAUCAACCGAGAUUCCGAAAGUAGCGGCGAGCGAAAUUGGAUUAGCCCUUAAGCUUUUAAUGAUGCAGGUGAAGAGUCUGGAAAGUCUCGCAAUAAAGGGUGAUAGCCCCGUAACCGACACAUCAUAAUCAGUGAAAUCGAGUAGGGCGGGACACGUGAUAUCCUGUCUGAAUAUGGGGGGACCAUCCUCCAAGGCUAAAUACUACUGACUGACCGAUAGUGAACCAGUACCGUGAGGGAAAGGCGAAAAGAACCCCUGUGAGGGGAGUGAAAUAGAACCUGAAACCGUGUACGUACAAGCAGUAGGAGCACCUUCGUGGUGUGACUGCGUACCUUUUGUAUAAUGGGUCAGC